rnacentral:rRNA from 1 species
CCCUUAGAUGUUCUGGGCCGCACGCGCGCUACACUGAUGCAUUCAACGAGCCUAUCCUUGACCGACAGGUCCGGGUAAUCUUUGAAUCUGCAUCGUGACGGGGAUAGAUUAUUGCAAUUAUUAAUCUUCAACGAGGAAUGCCUAGUAGGCGCAAGUCAUCAGCUUGCGUCGAUUACGUCCCUGCCCUUUGUACACACCGCCCGUCGCUCCUACCGAUUUUGAGUGAUCCGGUGAACCUUUUGGACUGCGGUGUCUUCAUGGCACUCGUGGGAAGUUAAGUAAACCUUAUCACUUAGAGGAAGGAGAAGUCGUAACA